GUCUUUUUGAUAUAUUUAUUUAAAGUCUAAUCUGCUCACUGAAUUUAAAUUUAAAGAGCCGCAGUAUUUUAACUGUGCAAAGGUAGCAUAAUAAAUUGUUUUUUAAUUGAAAACUAGAAUGAAUGAUUGAAUGAAAUAUAUUCUGUCUCAAUUUUAAUUUAGUAAAAAUUAAUUUUUUAGUUAAAAAGCUAAAAUUAAUUUAAAAGACGAGAAGACCCUAUAGAUUUUUAUAUAUUUAUUAAUUAAUUUAUAUUUUUAUAAAUUAAAAUGUAUUUAUUAUUAAAUAUAUUUUAUUGGGGUAAUAGAAAAAUAAAUAAAACUUUUAUUUAAUAGAACCAUAAAUUAAUGAAAAUUUGAUCCAAAUUUAAUGAUUAAAAGAUUAAAUUACCUUAGGGAUAACAGCGUAAUUUUAAUUUUAAGUUCUUAUUGAAAUUAAAGAUUGCGACCUCGAUGUUGGAUUAAGAAAAAUUUUAAAAGAAGAAUUUUAAAUUUUAGGUCUGUUCGACCUUUAAAAUCUU
rnacentral:rRNA from 1 species